rnacentral:rRNA from 1 species
UACGGGGGGGGCAAGCGUUGUUCGGAAUUACUGGGCGUAAAGGGCUCGUAGGUGGCCAACUAAGUCGGACGUGAAAUCCCUCAGCUUAACUGGGGAACUGCGUCCGAUACUGGAUGGCUUGAGUUUGGGAGAGGGAUGCGGAAUUCCAGGUGUAGCGGUGAAAUGCGUAGAUAUCUGGAGGAACACCGAUGGCGAAGGCAGGUCUCUGGGCCGAUACUGACGCUGAGGAGCGAAAGCGUGGGGAGCGAACAGG